ensembl:snRNA U6 U6 spliceosomal RNA
GUGCUCGCUUUGGCAGCACAUAUACUAAAAUUGGAACAAAACAGAGAAGAUUAGCAUGGCCCCUGCACAAGGAUGACACGCAAAUUCGUGAAGUGUUCCAUAUUUCA